CUACGUGCCAGCAGCCGCGGUAAUACGGAGGGUGCGAGCGUUAAUCGGAAUAACUGGGCGUAAAGGGCACGCAGGCGGUGACUUAAGUGAGGUGUGAAAGCCCCGGGCUUAACCUGGGAAUUGCAUUUCAUACUGGGUCGCUAGAGUACUUUAGGGAGGGGUAGAAUUCCACGUGUAGCGGUGAAAUGCGUAGAGAUGUGGAGGAAUACCGAAGGCGAAGGCAGCCCCUUGGGAAUGUACUGACGCUCAUGUGCGAAAGCGUGGGGAGCAAACAGGAUUAGAUACCCUGGUAGUCCACGCUGUAAACGAUGUCGAUUUGGGGGUUGAACUUUAAGUUUGGCGCCCGUAGCUAACGUGAUAAAUCGACCGCCUGGGGAGUACGGCCGCAAAGUUAAAACUCAAAUGAAUUGACGGGGGCCCGCACAAGCGGUGGAGCAUGUGGUUUAAUUCGAUGCAACGCGAAGAACCUUACCUACUCUUGACAUCCAGAGAACAUUC
rnacentral:rRNA from 1 species